CUAGUAAUCGUAGGUCAGCAUACUACGGUGAAUACGUUCCCGGGCCUUGUACACACCGCCCGUCAAACCAUGAGAGUUGGCAACACCCGAAGUCGGUAGUCUAACCGCAAGGAGGACGCCGCCGAAGGUGGGGUUGAUGAUUAGGGUUAAGUCGUAACAAGGUAAC
rnacentral:rRNA from 1 species